UACGUAGGGGGCUAGCGUUGUCCGGAAUCAUUGGGCGUAAAGCGCGUGUAGGCGGUCCGGUAAGUCCGCUGUGAAAGUCGGGGGCUCAACCCUCGGAUGCCGGUGGAUACUGGCGGGCUUGAGUACGGAAGAGGCGAGUGGAAUUCCCGGUGUAGCGGUGAAAUGCGCAGAUAUCGGGAGGAACACCAGUAGCGAAGGCGGCUCGCUGGGCCGUUCCUGACGCUGAGACGCGAAAGCGUGGGGAGCAAACAGG
rnacentral:rRNA from 1 species